UGAUGCCUACGGGGGGCAGCAGUGAGGAAUAUUGGUCAAUGGGCGGGAGCCUGAACCAGCCAAGUCGCGUGAGGGAAGACGGUCCUAUGGAUUGUAAACCUCUUUAGGCGGGGAGCAAUGCCGGGCACGCGUGCCCGGAGGGAGAGUACCCGCAGAAUAAGCAUCGGCUAACUCCGUGCCAGCAGCCGCGGUAAUACGGAGGAUGCGAGCGUUAUCCGGAUUUAUUGGGCGUAAAGCGAGUGCAGGCGGUUCCAUAAGUCUGAU
rnacentral:rRNA from 1 species